AUCUCUUUGUUUGAACUAAAUGAACGUCUAAAAUCAGUCUGUUCUUAUCAGUUUAAUAUCUGAUACGGCCUCUACCCGGGGACCAUAUACUAAAUUGAUUUUUGGAAUAGGGAGAUUGAAAAGGGGCUUGCCCCGUCCACUCCACGCAUCAACCUGGUAUUGCAGCACCUCCAGGACCAGUGCACCCCCC